GCAUAAUCUCUGAGGAGAAAAGCAGGGGAUCGCAAGACCUUGCGCUUUUGGAGCGGCCGAUGCCUGAUUAGCUUGUUGGUAAGGUAAAAGCUUACCAAGGCUUCGAUCAGUAGCUGGUCUGAGAGGACGGCCAGCCACACUGGGACUGAGACGCGGCCCAGACUCCUACGGGAGGCAGCAGUGGGGAAUUUUGGACAAUGGGGGCAACCCUGAUCCAGCCAUGCCGCGUGAGUGAAGAAGGCCUUCGGGUUGUAAAGCUCUUUCAGCCGGAACGAAACGGUUACGGUUAAUACCCGUGACUACUGACGGUACCGGAAGAAGAAG
rnacentral:rRNA from 1 species